rnacentral:rRNA from 1 species
UACGGGGGGAGCAAGCGUUGUUCGGAUUUACUGGGCGUAAAGGGCGCGUAGGCGGCCACCGCAAGUCAAUUGUGAAAUCUCCGGGCUUAACUCCGAAACUGCAUUCGAUACUGCCGUGCUUGAGGACUGGAGAGGAGACUGGAAUUUACGGUGUAGCGGUGAAAUGCGUAGAUAUCGGGAAGAACACCCGUGGCGAAGGCGGUUCUCUGGGACGGUACUGACGCUGAGGAGCGAAAGCGUGGGGAGCGAACAGG